rnacentral:rRNA from 1 species
GACGAACGCUGGCGGCGUGCUUAACACAUGCCAGUCGAACGGAAAGGCCCUGCUUUUGUGGGGUGCUCGAGUGGCGAACGGGUGAGUAACACGUGAGUAACCUGCCCUUGACUUUGGGAUAACUUCAGGAAACUGGGGCUAAUACCGGAUAGGAGCUCCUGCUGCAUGGUGGGGGUUGGAAAGUUUCGGCGGUUGGGGAUGGACUCGCGGCUUAUCAGCUUGUUGGUGGGGUAGUGGCUUACCAAGGCUUUGACGGGUAGCCGGCCUGAGAGGGUGACCGGCCACAUUGGGACUGAGAUACGGCGCAGACUCCUACGGGAGGCAGCAGUGGGGAGUAUUGCACAAUGGGCGGAAGCCUGAUGCAGCAACGCCGCGUGCGGGAUGACGGCCUUCGGGUUGUAAACCGCUUUCGCCUGUGACGAAGCGUGAGUGACGGUAAUGGGUAAAGAAGCACCGGCUAACUACGUG